UGGGGAAUUGUUCGCAAUGGGCGCAAGCCUGACGACGCCACGCCGCGUGGAGGAUGAAGAUCUUCGGGUCGUAAACUCCUUUCGAUCGAGACGAAUGGCCCUUGGGCUAACAUCCUGAGGGAAUGACGGUACCGAGAGAAGAAGCCCCGGCUAACUCCGUGCCAGCAGCCGCGGUAAAACGUAGGUGGCGAGCGUUAUCCGGAUUUACUGGGCGUAAAGAGCUCGUAGGCGGCUUGUCGCGUCGUCCGUGAAAACUGAGGGCUCAACCCUCAGCUUGCGGUCGAUACGGGCAGGCUGGAGUUCGGUAGGGGAGACUGGAAUUCCUGGUGUAGCGGUGAAAUGCGCAGAUAUCAGGAGGAACACCGGUGGCGAAGGCGGGUCUCUGGGCCGAUACUGACGCUGAGGAGCGAAAGCGUGGGGAGCGAAC
rnacentral:rRNA from 1 species